rnacentral:misc_RNA from 1 species
GCCCAUCCACGCUCGGUGCACCUGCCUCGCAGGCCUGCCCGAUGCGGACAAUGGCCCUCCGAGCCGCGAGGCGCGACGGGCACAAGUGCAUGGCCGUCGGUUGAGGCCGGGAGCGGCGAGUGGUGGGCUAACUGCGCACGCUGCCUCCGAACCUCAUGUCGACUCAAGGCCUAGUAGGACCUCGAAACGAGGAGCAUGUCGCCUAGCGCGGCAGAGCCUCGGACC